GCUUGACCUCGGAUCA
rnacentral:rRNA from 1 species